GAAGAGGGCUGCUGGCUCGCUGCCACACUGGUUAAGAACAGUCUUCAUUUUGUUUUCGUUGCGCGCGGUUGUGCUUUGCCUGUGUGUGUAUGUAUAGAGCAGCAUCAGCAGCAGCAGCGCCGCCGGUCUGAGCGAGAGAGACUGACGCCCGUGUGCAUAUUCACAUGCCGAAUGGAAAAACGUUCACUUGAUUGCAGUUUUCAUAAGUGUGGAAAAUUGUGAGAACCAAAAAAGAAAGAAAACAAAAUACAGAGAAGGAGAAAAAAAAAAAAAAAACAUUCCAGAUAGUACAAUAAUCACAAUACGAAAUUGACAAUACAACUGCGCAGAUAGUUGUAGAUACAGCUCAGUUCGGAAAAAGUGCCAAGAGGCACACUUACACACACACACACAUUCACCUGUGUGAAUCAGAGGUAGAAGAAGAAAUACAACAAGAAGAACAACAACAACACAGCCAAAAUGCGGCGGCACUCAACGAUGCUGGCCGCGAUAUUACUGGCUGCCAUUUUGGGCAGCUCAACGGCAAUGAACAAUUCCCCGCCCCGGAUCAUUAAACAGCCGCCCACCGAUGAGCUGCUUUUCAAGGUGGCGCAACAGAACAAGGAGAGCGACAAGCCAUUCAUUAUUGAGUGCGAGGCCGAUGGACAACCGGAACCAGAAUAUAGUUGGAUCAAGAAUGGCAAAAAGUUCGACUGGCAGGCGUACGACAAUCGCAUGUUGCGUCAACCGGGACGCGGAACCUUGGUGAUCACCUCGCCGAAGGACGAGGAUCUGGGACAGUAUCAAUGUUUCGCCAGCAACGAGUUUGGUGUGGCCACCUCGAACUCGGUGUUUGUGCGCAAGGCCGAGCUGAACGCUUUUAAGGAUGAGGGCGCUCGGGGCGUUGUCGCCGUCGAGGGUGAACCCUUCUCCAUGCAAUGCGAGGCACCCGAUGGCUGGCCAAAGCCCACAGUUAACUGGCUGCUGCAGAGUGCCAACGAUGCUGGCAUUCGUUCGAUCAACAACUCACGCAUGACUCUCGAUCCCGAGGGCACGCUCUGGUUCUCGAAUGUGACGCGCGAGGAUGCGAACGGUGAAUUCUGGUAUUCGUGCUCAGCGACCUCGGUGUUCCGCAACGAGUACAAGAUCGGCAACAAGAUACUGCUCGAUGUGAAGCAGAUGGGCGUGAGUGCAGCCCAGAAUCGUUAUCCACCCAAGCAACAGUAUGUGACGCGCAAGAACGAGGUCGGACUGCGAGGCAAACGGGUCGAAUUGUAUUGCAUCUUUGGCGGGACACCGCUACCGCAAACCGUCUGGAGUAAGGACAAUAAACGAAUCGAGUGGAAUGAUCGAAUAACGCAGGGCAAUUAUGGCAAAUCGUUGGUCAUACGGCAUGUCUCAUUCGAGGAUGCGGGCAAAUACACUUGCGAUGUCUCGAACGGUGUGGGCAACGCACAAUCCUAUACGAUUGACUUGAAGAUCAAUUCGGUGCCGUACUUCACCUUGGAGCCGGAGAUACAGAAUGCCGCCGAAGAGGAGGAAGUGACGUUCAAGUGCGAGGCCGCCGGACAUCCGGAGCCAACGAUCCAAUGGAUCUUCAACGGCAAACCGAUCGCACAGGCUGCGGACAAUCCACGCCGAACGGUGACGAACAAUUACAUUCGCAUUGUCAAUCUGGAGAAGAAGGAUACGGGCAACUAUGGCUGCAACGCCACCAAUUCGCUGGGCUAUGUCUACAAGGAUGUCUAUCUCAAUGUGCUCGCUCUGCAGCCCGAGAUCCAGGUGAAACCCCAAGCCGAAGCGAUCACCGUGAACGGACGCAACAUCACGCUGACGUGCCGCGUCUUUGGCGCCCCCAAACCCCAGGUGAAGUGGCGUCACAAUGAGAACUGGCUGACCGGUGGACGUUACAAUGUGCUGCCCUCGGGUGAUCUGAGCAUCGAUGAGGUCACCUAUGCGGACAGCGGCACCUACACGUGUCUGGCCGUCAAUAAGUUUGGCAAUGCCACGGCGCAGGGAUCUCUGGUGGUUAAGGAACGCACACGCAUCACACAGGAGCCGCAGAACUAUGAAGUUGCUGCCGGACAAUCGGCGACAUUCCGUUGCAAUGAGGCGCACGAUGAUACGCUCGAUCUGCAGAUCAUUUGGCAGAAGGAUGGCCAAGCGAUUGACUUUGAGGCCGAGGCACGUUUUGUGAAGACCAACGACAACUCGCUGACAAUUGCCAAGACCAUGGAACUCGAUUCGGGUGAAUACACGUGUGUGGCACGCACCUUGUACGAUGAGGCAACGGCCAAGGCCAAUUUGAUUGUCCAGGAUGUGCCGAAUGCACCGCGUCUCGUUGGCAUCUCUUGCCAGGCGGACAAGGCCGAGAUCUCGUGGCAACCGCAGGGCGACAAUCGUUCACCCAUUCUGCACUACACGAUUCAGUUCAACACAUCGUUCACGCCCGCCUCGUGGGACACCGCCUACGAGAAGGUCCCCAGCACCGACUUCUCCUUUGUCGUCCAAAUGUCGCCAUGGGCCAAUUACACUUACCGCGUGAUUGCGUUCAACAAAAUCGGACCAUCACCUCCAUCGGAGCACAGUGAGGCGUGCACCACCCAACCGGAUGUCCCGUAUAAGAAUCCCGAGAAUGUUGUGGGCCAGGGUACCGAGCCGAACAACUUGUUCAUCACGUGGACACCGAUGCCGGAGAUUGAGCACAAUGCACCGAACUUCCAGUAUCGCGUCAGCUGGAAGCGUGACAUUCCCGCCGCUGCCUGGGAGAACAAGGACAUCUACGAUUGGCGUCAAAGCAAUCUGCUGAUACCCAAUCAGGAGACAUUCGUCAAGUAUCACAUCAAAGUUUUGGCCAUCAAUGAGGCCGGCGAAUCGAACGUGGCUGCCGAGGAGGUCAUUGGCUAUUCGGGCGAGGAUCGUCCCCUGGAGGCGCCCACCAAUUUCAGCAUGCUGCAGGUCACUAGCGCUACCAAUGCCUAUGUCGCCUGGAAUCCCGUGAGUCCCGAAUCGGUGCGCGGUCACUUCAAGGGCUACAAGAUUCAGACGUGGACCGACAAGGAGGGCGAGGAAGGUUUGCGUGAAAUCCAUGCCAUACACAACGAUGCUCUGGUCACACAAUUCAAGCCCGACUCAAAGAACUAUGCUCGCGUCUUGGCCUACAAUGGUCGCUUCAAUGGACCACCAAGUGCCACCAUUGACUUCGAUACACCCGAGGGCGUGCCAUCAUCGGUGCAAUCCCUGGAGGCAUACCCUUUAGGCUCGUCGGCGUUCUGGGUGACGUGGAAGAAACCGUUGCAUCCUAAUGGCAAACUCACCGGUUACAAGAUCUACUACGAGGUGGUCAAGGGCAGCUUUGUGGGCGAGCGUCGUGAAUACGAUCCCCAUAUCACCGAUCCACGCAUCACCAGCAUGAAGAUGGCUGCGUUGAAGCCGAACUCCAAGUAUCGCAUUUCCAUCACGGCCACCACCAAAAUGGGCGAAGGCACCGAGCAUUACAUCGAGAAGAGCACGCUGAAGGAUGAUUUUGCGCCACCAUCGCCGCCAACAUUCAACUGGGAGCAGAUUCCCUCGCCCGACGGAUCGCCCAACUAUCGCAUCAACUGGGUGCCCAACAUUGACGGACGUUCCGGCUCCCAUUUCUUCACCAAAUACAGAGUUCAGGGUGAAUCCAAAUGGCUGGAGGUGCAGGAGGAGACGGUCAAGGAUUAUCAGGAGCUGUCCACCUUGGAGCCCGAUACAGUGUACGAGGUGCGUGUGACCUCGGUCGAUGGCCACUAUCAGACCGAUAGUCCGGUCAAAAUUAUCGAUACGAGCGACGCCGAUGGACCGAUAAUGGUGCGCAACGAGAGUCUGGCGAAUGCUGGAUGGUUUAUUGGCAUGAUGCUGGCUUUGGCCAUCAUCAUUUUGUUGUUCAUCAUUCUGUGCAUCAUACGACGCAAUCGUGGUGGCAAAUACGAUGUGCACGAUCGUGAGCUGGCCAAUGGCAGGCGUGAUUAUCCCGAUGAUGGCGGCUUCCAUGAGUACUCGCAACCCUUAGAUAAUAAGAGCGCUGGUCGCCAAUCGGUUAGUUCAGCGAAUAAGCCGGGCGUGGAGAGUGACACCGAUUCGAUGGCCGAAUACGGUGAUGGCGAUACAGCUGUUGCCACAGCUGCCGGCCACGCAGCCACCGCUGCCCGCAAAGUGGGCAUCAAGCAGCCAGCGAUGCCAUCACAGUCACAGUUACAGUCGCAGUUACAGUCACAGUUGCAAUCGCAGUUACAGUCGCAGUUACAGUCGCAGCCUCCUCAGUUGCAGCCAUACGCGCAGCCUCCUCCUCAAUUGCAGUACCACCCACAGCCUCCUCAAUUGGAGUUCCACGCGCAGCCUCCUCAAUUGCCGUUACAGUCGCCGCCACCCUACGACAACUCUAUAAGCCAGCAACAUCAUGCAGCCUAGGCUCCUCUUUUCUUACAGUUGUUGCACACACACCAAAUACACCCACACACACACACCCAUUCAUACACCCACACAUUAUCAGUUAAAGGCGGUGGCGGUGGCGUCAUCCUUCAAAACAUUUCUCGACCCAGGCAUGAACGAAGAUGGUUCCUUUAUUGGCCAAUAUGGACGCAAAGGACUUUGAUUUAAUUUGUAAGCAGCAACAAACAAACCGAACCGAGCCCCUCCAAACAGCAACAACAACAACUACACCAGAACAACAACAACAACUACAACACCAGAACAACAACAACAACAACAACUACAGCGCCCAAAAUUCUAAAUGAAAAUCAAAGUUUUUCUUUAAGUUAAUUUUUAGUGCGACGAGUUAAAUUUCAAUAUGAAAGCGAAACAUUUUUUUUACAUUUAAUAACUAAAAACAUAAGUAAAAUAACAAAAAUUACAAAACAAACAACAACAAAAAAAAUACUGCCAAGCAAAAUGAGAAAGAAGAAGAAUCGAUCAAGAUAAACAACAACAACAACGAUGCAGCAAAAAGGCUAUUUAAAUAUGAAAUGAAAUGAAAACAAAUACGAAAACAACACGAGGAUCAAAAGCUGGCAAAGAAGCGGAUGAAAACAAAAACGCGAAAAAAAAUAAGAAGAAUUCCCCCCUCAACCCCGCAUCACACACGUCCCCCCGCUCC